UGCCCACAGAACUGCCGCUCACUGAAUGUGUUUUGUUUAUCGCACCAUUCUCUGUAAACUCUAGAGACUGUGGUGCGUAAAAAUCCCAGGAAGGCAGCUGUUUCUGAGAUCCUGGAAUCACCAUGUGUGGCAUCAACAAUCAUACCACGGUCAGUUGCUUAGAUUACGCAUCUUGCCCGUUCUAAUGUUUGGUCAAACAACAUAUAAAGCUCUCUACUCAAUAUACUCUAUAUAUUGAGUUGCAGGCAGCCACAUGAUUCACUGUUCGAAUUUAACGUUCCUUGAUGAGCUAAAUCAGGUCUGUAGAGCUGAAGGUAUGACCUAUGUCAUUGUGUGGGAUAAUGUCAGGUUCCACCAUGCUCAAAUGGUGCAAGCAUGGUUUCAGGCCCAUGCACAAUUUACCACCCUGUACUUACCCCCAUACUCUCCUUUCCUUAACCCGAUUGAGGAAUUUUUCUACACAUGGAUGUGGUAGGUUUAUGAUAGACGCCCUCACAAACAAGCCACCCUUCUCCAGGCCAUGGAUGACGCAUGCAAUGACAUCACAGAAGACCAGUGUCAGGCCUGGAUUCGCCAUGCCCGAAGAUUCUUCCCAAGAUGUUUGGCUAAUGAAAACAUUCAUUGUGAUGUGGAUGAGAACCUGUGGCCAAAUCCACAAGACAAGGUUGAUGGAAAUAUAGAAGUACAGUAAUCAAUAUUUUGUUUUGCUUUUUACAGUAAACCAGGUGAGGAACACUGCAGUUGACGUUUAACUGUUUUUUCUUUUUUGUAGCAAAUUAUUUUGGCUUUGAUUCAAAUAAACCUAUGUUGGGAUUUUAUUGUAUUUCAUCAAUAAAUGUCAUAUUUUGUUCAGUGUC